rnacentral:lncRNA from 1 species
GAGGGGGCCAGGCAAGCUGCCAAAAUCUAACCUUGUCUCCCUCGCCCUCUUCCUGACCCCACCCCAUCCAGUGGCGAUGGAUGAUGAGGAUGGGAGAUGCUUACUAGACGUGAUUUGUGACCCACAGGCCCUCAAUGACUUCUUGCAUGGAUCCGAGAAGCUUGACAGUGAUGACCUCCUGGAUAAUCCCGGGGAGGCCCAAAGUGCCUUCUAUGAAGGUCCUGGGCUCCAUGUGCAAGAAGCUUCCGGCAACCACCUGAACCCAGAGCCCAACC